rnacentral:lncRNA from 1 species
UUUGAUUUAUUGAAUGAGACUUGAUUAAGUAAAUUGAAUAUGCUUGCAACUAAAGGAUGCGCGGAUAAGAGUUAAGCAAGCAAUUUAUCUAAGUAAGUAAGUGAGCAAGUUAGACAAUGACAAAAAGCAUCACAAAUACAACAAACAUAUAGUGGUUCAGUGCACCCCAGCACCUACAUCCACUCCCCAAGACCUCUUGGAAAUUUCACUAUAAUCCUCCAGAUUACAGUCCGGUAGUUUUGCGAGUGCACUACCCAACUCGUUGUUUUA